GACGAACGCUGGCGGCGUGCCUAAUACAUGCAAGUUGAGCGCUGAAGGUUGGUACUUGUACCGACUGGAUGAGCAGCGAACGGGUGAGUAACGCGUGGGGAAUCUGCCUUUGAGCGGGGGACAACAUUUGGAAACGAAUGCUAAUACCGCAUAAAAACUUUAAACACAAGUUUUAAGUUUGAAAGAUGCAAUUGCAUCACUCAAAGAUGAUCCCGCGUUGUAUUAGCUAGUUGGUGAGGUAAAGGCCCACCAAGGCGAUGAUACAUAGCCGACCUGAGAGGGUGAUCGGCCACAUUGGGACUGAGACACGGCCCAAACUCCUACGGGAGGCAGCAGUAGGGAAUCUUCGGCAAUGGACGAAAGUCUGACCGAGCAACGCCGCGUGAGUGAAGAAGGUUUUCGGAUCGUAAAACUCUGUUGGUAGAGAAGAACGUUGGUGAGAGUGGAAAGCUCAUCAAGUGACGGUAACUACCCAGAAAGGGACGGCUAACUACGUG
rnacentral:rRNA from 1 species